UACGUAGGGUGCAAGCGUUGUCCGGAAUCACUGGGCGUAAAGCGCACGUAGGCGGACUCUUAAGUCGGUGGUGAAAUCCUGGAGCUCAACUCCAGAACUGCCUUCGAUACUGAGAGUCUCGAGUCCGAGAGAGGUGAGUGGAACUGCGAGUGUAGAGGUGAAAUUCGUAGAUAUUCGCAAGAACACCAGUGGCGAAGGCGGCUCACUGGCUCGGUACUGACGCUGAGGUGCGAAAGCGUGGGGAGCAAACAGG
rnacentral:rRNA from 1 species